GAUGAACGCUAGCGGCAGGCUUAAUACAUGCAAGUCGUGGGGCAGCAGGUUUGUAGCAAUACAGAUGCUGGCGACCGGCAAACGGGGUGCGGAACACGUACAGAACCUUCCUUUGAGCGGGGAAUAGCCCAGAGAAAUUUUGGAUUAAAUACCCCCAUAGUAUAAUGAAGUGGCAUCACUUUAUUAUUAAAGAUUUAUCACUCGAAGAUGGCUGUGCGGCUGAUUAGGUAGUUGGCGGGGUAAAGGCCCACCAAGCCUGCGAUCAGUAACUGGUGUGAGAGCACGACCAGUCACACGGGCACUGAGACACGGGCCCGACUCCUACGGGAGGCAGCAGUAAGGAAUAUUGGUCAAUGGAGGCAACUCUGAACCAGCCAUGCCGCGUGGAGGAUGAAGGUCCUCUGGAUUGUAAACUUCUUUAUAUGGGACGAAAAAAGGCUUUUACUAAGUCGUCUGACGGUACCAUAUGAAUAAGCACCGGCUAACUACCGUGCCA
rnacentral:rRNA from 1 species